GUAGACCCUUUCGAGGAUAGAUAAUAAGCGGUGACAGUGCCAGCGGAAUUGCCAGGGACAAGCUUGAGCUGCGUAUCAAUUUUCCCAAACAUAUACUCAUUCUUGGAUUGAAAUCCAGACCCAGAGGCUUUGUCAAGGGAUAAAGUGAGAAGAUCGCCAUUGUUAAUCUUACCUCGACCAUCUCCCCAUGUGAUGUCAAAAUCUCGGUAGAAAUUACCAGAGGCA
rnacentral:misc_RNA from 1 species